GACAGAGGUGCCGAGCGUUAGGCGGAAUUACUGGGCGUAAAGCGUGCGUAGGCGGUUUCUUAAGUCUGCUGUGAAAGCCCUGGGCUCAACCUGGGAAUGGCGGUGGAUACUGAGAAGCUGGAGUACGGUAGAGGAAGGUGGAAUUCCCGGUGUAGCGGUGAAAUGCGUAGAGAUCGGGAGGAACACCAGUGGCGAAGGCGGCCGGCUGGGGGUGACCUGACGCUGAGGCGCGAAAGCGUGGGGAGCAAACAGG
rnacentral:rRNA from 1 species